rnacentral:snRNA from 1 species
AGCUUUGCGCAGUGGCAGUAUCGUAGCCAAUGAGGCUAAUCCGAGGCGCGAUUAUUGCUAAUUGAAAACUUUCCCCAAUAUCCCGCCAUGACGACUUGAAAUAUAGUCGGAAAAAAAAUUUUGAGGGUGGUGAGGCAC